CCUUCGGGUGGCAGCAGUAGGGAAUUUUGCGCAAUGGGCGAAAGCCUGACGCAGCAACGCCGCGUGAUCGAGACGCCCUUCGGAUUGUAAACCUCUGUCUUCGGUGACGAAACGAGACGGUAGCCGAGGAGGAAGCCACGGCUAACUACGUGCCAGCAGCCGCGGUAAUACGUAGGUGGCAAGCGUUGUCCGGAAUUACUGGGUGUAAAGGGAGCGUAGGCGGGAAAGCAAGUUGAAUGUUUAAGGUACGGGCUCAACCUGUACAAGCGUUCAAAACUGUUUUUCUUGAGUGGAGUAGAGGUAAGCGGAAUUCCUAGUGUAGCGGUGAAAUGCGUAAAUAUUAGGAGGAACACCAGUGGCGAAGGCGGCUUACUGGGCUUUAACUGACGCUGAGGCUCGAAAGCGUGGGUAGCAAACAGGAUUAGAUACCCCAGUAGUC
rnacentral:rRNA from 1 species